rnacentral:rRNA from 1 species
GUGGGGAAUUUUGGACAAUGGGCGCAAGCCUGAUCCAGCAAUGCCGCGUGCAGGAAGAAGGCCUUCGGGUUGUAAACUGCUUUUGUACGGAACGAAACGGUCCUGGCUAAUACCUGGGGCUAAUGACGGUACCGUAAGAAUAAGCACCGGCUAACUACGUGCCAGCAGCCGCGGUAAUACGUAGGGUGCGAGCGUUAAUCGGAAUUACUGGGCGUAAAGCGUGCGCAGGCGGUGCUGUAAGACAGGCGUGAAAUCCCCGGGCUCAACCUGGGAAUUGCGCUGGUGACUGCAGUGCUGGAGUACGUCAGAGGGGGAUGGAAUUCCGCGUGUAGCAGUGAAAUGCGUAGAUAUGCGGAGGAACACCGAUGGCGAAGGCAAUCCCCUGGGCCUGCACUGACGCUCAUGCACGAAAGCGUGGGGAGCAAACAGGAUUAGAAACCCCGGUAGUCC